UAUAGGCUCCUACUUGAGGCAAGGUCAUUGUUGACUCAUGUGUUGAAAACUGUUAAGAGAUUUUCCCGAAAGCAAAGGGAAAUCCCGAUAUUUCCGUCUAUAAGAAGUCUGUGGUCUGACCUGUUAUUAUUAUUAUUUGUGCAAGCUGUGUCUCAUUUAAUUUAGUGCCCCUCAAGACAUCAUAUUAAUUAUUAUACUAUUGUUUCUAACAAAUAAAAGUAUAUUUUGAUCUAGAUGGUAUAGAUCCCGAGUAGGAGAGUGGAGAUGUCUCAUGAGAUCACUUGAAAUCAAAUGAAAUUAGUCCUAAUUAUAUUUAUCUCAGGAUACGUAAAUUUUUUUUUUUUAUUUUCACUUUGUCUACUGCAUAAUAAAAGAUGAUAGAGUCAAUGCAUGUUGCAUCUGCUUUUUAUAAAUAAAUGACAAUUUUUUUUAUUACAAAAGUGUUUCAAUUAUUUAAAUUUUGUAAAUAAACAAACUAAGACUAUAGAAAAUGAUGCUGAUACAGAUGUUGCUACGUAGUUGUUAAGUUGUUGCAUGGCCGGCUUUAGAUGAUUGAAAACCCUAGGCGAAGUGAAUUGGGUGGCCUCAAAUUAAAUUAAAAUUAAAACAGCGAAAAAAUAAAAUUACAGGUUUUUUAAACCAGUGUAAUACAACAAAAGCAUUUAGCACAAGUUUCGAUAUUUCUUCUCUACACCCAUCGGAGGCUCUUGGUUAAAUUCACACAAAAAUGAUUUAUUAUUCGCAAUUUCAACAAAAUAAGUCUUUGAAAGCCGACAUUUUAAAGUACAUAAUACAAAUGUAUAUAUUAUUGUAAUACUGGCUGUUACACUGAAUACGCAAAAGGACCAAUUCAUGUAUUGUUGGGGGGGGGGGGGCAUUUCAUUAAAAACUGUGUGUGCGUUAAGGGGCAAUAUAUUGCAGGGAGAUAGAGAUAAGAAAACUACCACUGAUGGGGCUAAUAAGUGUUUGUGCAUAAUCCAUAAUUGUGGACCGUUCAAUUUAAGGGUGAAAGAAACAACAAUAAAGAAGACUUAUACAUUUGAGGGCUAUAGAUGAGGGCUAGGGAUGAGGAUCGUUGUAAUGCGGGCCAUUUUAUUGAGGGAUUUAAGAGUGUAUGCCAAAAAAAAACAACAUAUAUUCUAAGCAUAUACAUAUAC